AGGAAGCAGGCGAGCAUUGUAGAUCUGAGGUGCAUGGUAUAAAGGGGGUGGGGGCAGCAUCCAGUACCAUGCUAGCAUAGAAAGCAGCAUGCGUUCCUGCAGUGAUGCCAGCUGUCACUUCUCUGCCUACUAGUCUAUGAUAAGACACACAUCUGUGUGUACGAGCAUGGGCACCCUGCCAGUCAGGGAGGCCCUGCAUAAAGCUUCCCCUGGCAGGGAGCCUAGCUCUGCGCUAACAUGAGCAGGCAGGGGGGGGGGGGUGAGGUGUCAGGCUGCGCGUGGCGCUUGCUGUGUAUCUUUGAUCAGC